rnacentral:lncRNA from 1 species
UAUAAAAUAGUGGGAGUAUCUUUAGACUAAAGUCCAAGUCUACUGUGUUUAGUCAAUUCAUAUACUAAUAGCCAAAUUUUCUUUUAUGUAGAAAUGCCCACAAGUUUGUCACUUCGCUCAUUAUUGGAUAAUGACAAGUUGACUAGUCCCAACUUCAAUAAUUGGUAUAGAAAGCUGAAAACUCAGCAUAGUCAGACCAAAAGGAUUAAGGAUGACCAAAGUCAGGCAGAAUGCUUCUAUU